GAUGAACGCUGGCGGCGUGCCUAAUACAUGCAAGUCGAACGGAAAGGUGAUGAGCUUGUUCCUCUCACGUUUGGCGCGCGCGGGGGAAUCACACGAGGAAAACCCUCCUUAAAUUCUGGGAAAAUCUCGGGAAAGCGGCGAAUACACCGGAGAAGAUACUGAAGCGUAGUGUUGAAUUGAUAAAGACGGUUUUUCUGGAUCGUCUCGCUGGUUCCCCGCCGCUUUAGCUAGUUGGGAAGGUAAAGGGUUACCAAGGGAACGAGGCGUAGGCGAGCUGAGAGGGUGAUCGGCCACACUGGAACUGAGACACGGUCCAGACUCCUACGGGAGGCAGCAGUAGGGAAUCUUCCGCAAUGGGCGAAAGCCUGACGGAGCAACGCCGCGUGAGUGAUGAAGGUCUUCGGAUCGUAAAACUCUGUUAUUAGGGAAGAACAAAUGUGUAAGUAACUAUGCACGUCUUGACGGUACCUAAUCAGAAAGCCACGGCUAACUACGUG
rnacentral:rRNA from 1 species